rnacentral:tRNA from 1 species
GGAAAAGUGGCUCAGUGGUAGAGUGCUUGCCUUGAAGGCAUGAAGCCCUGGGUUCAAUUCCUCAGCACCA